UUUUUAGUGUAAAUAUGUCCCAUGCAAUCUUUAGGACAUAUUUAUAUUAAAA
rnacentral:pre_miRNA from 1 species